GGCCCUGCCGGCGGGUCCGCCGCUGCACGCUGCCUGCACCUGGGACAGCGCCUGCCUGCACCUGGGACAGCGCCUGCCACGUGCCACGGACACCCUUUGGUACCCCUGUGCUGAUACAGUUUUCCGGCGGGGGAAGGAAAAGCCACGUCCCACCUGGUAGAGUGGGGCUGGGAUCCCCUUGCCCGCACCAUGGGAUGUAGUGCCCAUCCUGGCCCACAGCCAGCUGCACACAGAGCGGGGAGGAAAAGGGACAUCUCAUCAGUCACUGCUGAGAGCGAGCGGGGUCCCGUGUGUUACAGCCCAUCUCACACGCUCCUGUGUUGUGCAAACACCACAUCGGCCCAGCCCAGCCAGGCCCCUCCUGCCUCCGUCCUCGCUUUGGAGAGCAGCACUCCGGCAGCACGUCAGAAAAACUCCCCCUUUUAUGUGGAAGCCUCUCAAGUUCCUCUUGCUUCAAGAAAGGGGUGGGAAAGAACCCUUCACUCCAGGUUACAGGAACGCAUUUUCAAAGCACACAAAGCGCCAGCUGAACUCACCCACCUCGCCACGCUGGGUAGCGUAGCACAGCCCUUCCCCAAAUGUCUGCCCCCAUUCCUAACUGCAGCCAACUGCUCGAUCAGGUAUAAAAUAAUUACGGGCCUUAUUUCCAUUUCACUAACACACUGCCUAAUGACUGCUUUGAUUUCUGCCUGUAGUGGCAAUACCACUUCUCCUAACAGUUGCUUUCUGGUGCAAUCAUGUAAUUUAUAGUCAGCUGUUAUUUAUACCCUUCCUGUUUGGAAGAAUCUCCCUCUCAGUGCCUAUCAACAGAUGUUUAUGAGAUUUUUAACCUCAUUAUUCCAAAAUUAUUUUCCCUUCAUCUCUACUCCUUUCCAAAAGCCUGAAGGAAAACUCUCAGCUCACAUAUUUAAUGCAAAACAGGAGCAGGUUACAUACACACCUGCCCUAGCUGCUACUGCAUUUUUUUUCCAGCAGGCUAAAGUACUGAAAUUUGUACUAGAACAGUGAGACAAUUAAGGAAACGUUAACUUUGUAAAGUAACUAUAGUAACAGCACCCAAAAAUGUUAAGAGUAGUAAUAUAAGUCUCAAAACCUCCUUUAAUGAACUACAGCCUUUGCACCAGAGCUGGGGAGAAAUGCUUCAAGCUACAACAUUUAUUAAUCUUGAGAAUAUUGAGAAUUAUUUUAACUCCUUGGGACACUGUGAAGAAAUCCUUGGGGAGGUACAACUCCUUUUACCAUGCACAGUAUGAAGUCACUUAUCCUGGACCAGAGCCCCCUCCUGCUAUCACACCCAGCUGGCAGCUGAGAGUUGCCAGGCACCUCACCCAAAGCUCACUGCCACCAGAAGGGCUCUCCACCUCAGCCUUCUGUCCUCUGUCCCUUGGCUGACUGUACAGCUGACAGAGCCAGGCAGGGUGAAAAGGCAGCAUGCACUCAGGAGCCGCACACUAAGCACACAUCUGACCUUAGAAUCCCCUUCAAGUGGCACCCUCACAGCUCCCAGCAUGUUACUGAGCCUGUAUGCUCAGUAAUUGUUUCUCCUCUCUUCCUUACUCUCGGUGGAGCUCACUGCUUUUUGGAAAAAUAGUUAUUGGUUAAAACCAGGUAAAAAUAGAUGGCCAUCAGAUACUAAAAGCAGUUCAAAAUUCAGGGUUGGGGAUGAGGAAUACCACUGCACAUACAGGCAAAGCAAGAAUUAUCCCAACUGUUGUAAUACUUCUGGAUAGCAUUAAGAGACACAUUUAGAGUUCUCUACAAAACAGAAUGAAGCAAAGCCAUUUUCACUCUUUACAAUUACAUCCUUGAUGAGAAAACAACUUUGGUUCAAAUUUUAGUACCAGAGACCCAAACUGCUGCUCUACAUCACGAAGCCUUUCAAGGUCUGUCCUUGCUGUGCCCUGGAGCUCUGCUGGUAUUGUACCUGUAACUGCAGACCCAGGAAGACCUAACAGGAUACAGCAGCUGCAGCUUUCUUCCAGGAGAUCCAAAUGUAGCAGUUUGUAACUGUCUGGUGGACACAGCACUGCCUUUGAGAAGUUAAGACUAUUCUCUCUACCCUCAAUUGAGUAAUACCACAUACAAUUUCAAGAAAAUCUACCUUAGGCUUAUACUAGCUGUCCUCUUUUGUUUGCUCUUCUUUUUCCAAGUCCUAACUUUCUUCUGAGCCAACUCCUCCACUGACUUCAUAAAGAGCUGCUGAAAGAAAACCUACACGGCUGAAAGUUAUUCCAAUCCCUCUACGUGACUGGGCCUGAGCUGGGAGUCCUGUUUAACCAGACUUCCUUCCAGCUGCUUGAUCGCCUGGCAGCAGGCAGCAAUGAACAGAGCACCCUGACUUACAGGUUUUGUUGCAGCAAAACCCAGCUCUGCACUGUACGACCUGUGAGAAGCAGCAGUUCCUACCAGCUUUGAGUCACACAUGGAAUGACAGGACACAAGGGAAGUGGAGAUCUCAUUUAUUGGGCUGAAACUACAAAUAGAUUCACUUUGACUUCUGGCUCUGUGCUUGUGCCUUCAACACUUUCACAACGAUCUUCUGCUCCUCGAUAAGAAAAGCUCGUUUGAUCCUGGAAAAGAAAAACAGCUUUAGGAUAUGUGUCUAUCUACCAAAGCAUAAACACAAAAAUAAAACAAAUUACAAUUAAUUUUGA